AGACAUUGUGGUACUGGUACAAAAACAGACAUACAGGUGAGAACAGAAUAGAGAACCUAGAAAUAAACCCAGACACCUAUAGUCAAUUAAUCUUCAAUAAAGGAAGUAAGAAUAUAAAAUGGGAAAAAGACAGUCUCUUCAGCAAGUGGUACUGGCAAAACUGGACAGCUGCAUGUAAAUCAAUGAAACCAGAACACACCCUCACACCAUUCAAAAAAAAGAUAAACUCAAAAUGGCUUAAAGACUUAAAUAUAAGACAAGAUACCAUAAAACUCCUAGAAAAUAAUGUAGGUAAAACAUUCUCUAACAUCAACCAUACUCAUGAUUUCUUAGGUGAGUCUCCCAAAGCAAUAGAAAUAACAAAAAUAAACCAAUGUGACCUAAUCAAAUUGACAAGCUUUUGUGCAAUAAAGGAAACCAUAAAACAACGCAAAAAGACAACCUACAGAAUGGGAGAAAGUAGUUCAAAAAGAUGCAACUGACAAGGGCUUUAAUUUCCAAAAUGUACAAACAAUUCUCACAACUUGACAGCAAAAAAACAAAAAUAAAAAAUAAAAAAUAAAUUGAAAAAUGGCAGAAGACCUGAAUAGACAUUUCUCCAAAGAAGAUAUACAGAUCACCAACAGCACAUGAAAAAAUGCUCAACAUCACUAAUUAUUAGAGAAAUGCAUAUCAAAACUACAAUGAGAUAUCACCACACACCAGUAGGAAUAGCCAUCAUAAUAAGUCUACAAAUAACAAAUGCUGGAGAGGGUGUGGAGAAAAGGGAACCCUCCUGUACUGUUGGUGGGAAUGUAAAUUGAUACAACCAAUAUGGAAAAUACCAUGGAAGUACCACAGAAAACUAAAUAUAGAACUACCGUAUGAUCUAGCAAUCCCACUCCUGGGCAUCUAAGUGGACAAAACUUUCAUUGAAAAGGAUACAUGCAUCCCUAUGUUCAUUCUAGCACUAUUCGCAAUAGCCAAGACCUGGAAACAACCUAAAUGUCCAUCAACAGAUGAAUGGAUUAAGAAGAUGUGGUAUAUUGUAAUAGAGUUUACAUAUUCGAAAUUAAACAGUGGUUAGUAAUUUGCUGAGAAAAUUUUUAUGCCUGGUGCUUUGAGUGUAAUUCUUUAAUAACUUUCUGUGUUGUAUGGAAAGUUAUUUUAUUUAUACUUUCCACCUUUUAAUAUCAUCCUUUUAUGUUGAGUUAUGGUAGGGAACUGGGGGUGCUAUAUGAUUAAGUGGUGAGUUCAUCUAAUUUUGCUUAUACUAACAGGUCUCUGAUGUGGAUGACUAAAAUAUUUUUAACGGUUUAAAAAAAAAGACAUGGUAUGUAUACACAAUGGAAUGCUAUUCAGUCAUAAAAAAAAAACAAAAUAAUGCCAUUUGCAGCAAAAUGGAUACAACUAGAUUCCCAUACUAAGUGAAGUCAGAAAGAAAAAGACAAAUACUAUAUGAUAUCACUUAUAUCUGGAAUCUAAUAUAUGGCACAAAUGAACCUAUCUAUAGAGGAAAAAACCUCAUGGACAUGGAGAACAGACUUGUGGUUACCAAGGGGGAAGGGGAGGGAAUGGGAUGGAAUGAGAAUUUGGGGUUAGUAGAUGCAAACUAUUGAAUUUGGAGUAGAUAGGCAAAGAGAUCCUGCUGUGUAGCACAGGGCACUGUAUCCAGUAACUUGUGAUGGUACAUGACGGAGGAUAAUAUGAGAAAAAGAAUAUAUGUAUAUGUAUGACUGGGUCAUGUUUAUGUAGAGCAGAAAUUGACAAAACAUUGUAAAUCAGAUAUAAUAAAAAUAUUUUUUAAAAAGUGUAAUGGUUAAUCUGUUUUAUUAGGCAAGGUGAAGCAGGAUAACACAUAAUUACUAUCCUGCAAUAAAUAUACCUAAUGCUUUGAUAUUACCAAUUUCCUAUUAUUUUCUGCCAAUGAUAUUGUUUUUCAUCUCUGAUGACAUUGUGAUGUGUACCAUUAAUUUAAUAACAGCUUUGGGGGGAAAAUACAUGCAAGUAUAUAAAAGUUGUCUUUGUUAAUUUUUAGCCGUCAGUAACACAUAUGUCCAUAUAACAUUUUAAUGUAAAAGCAGAGUUUUCAUCUAAGUCCUCUAAAGUUUAAAAAUUAUCACAAAACAUUUUAACCAUUAGCAAUUAUAGAUAAAAUUGUAGUACAUUUAUGUUUUUUAAAAAUUAUCACAAAACAUUUUAACCAUUAGCAAUUAUAGAUAAAAUUGUAGUACAUUUAUGUUUUUUAAACCUACAUUCAUAACACUGGUCUUCUUGGCACCAUUAGCAUAAUUUCAAAGUAUAUCAAAGAAUGCCAGGGUUUUGCCUACAUUUCUUAUUUGGAAAUUUUUAUCGUUUUAAAAAUGAUAUUAUUUGACAGAGCCUAAAGGAUACUAGUUCUUCCAAACUCAUGAAUUGGUCCUAUCAAACUCUUCCGGUUUUGAAAAUUCUGCUUAGUACGAGGGAUUUGGCAGUAAUAUUUUUAUUGCAUUGUGUAUUAUCUGAGACACAAUCUAUUUACAAAAUAGCUUUUUAUUUCAAAGCUGUCAUUUCGCUAUCUUUUUAGGACAUUUUAUAGAACUAUAGGAAAGGGAAAAUAUCUUUUUCCUUAGCUCUUCUGAGUUCUCAGCCUGUAUCAAAAGUGAGAUGAACAAAAGCGUACAAAUUUAUUUAACAUAAAUUUUAUAUGACACAGGAGCCUUCAUAAGGAAAUGAAAUCCCAAAGAAGGGGUUAGACCUGAGUGCUUUUACGGUUGGUUUGAUGAAGACUAGAAAGUUGUGGGAAGAUAUGUAGGGGGAAAACGGUAUGAACUAAGAGUAGUAAACUAAGAAAAUAAGACGUUGCCGCCUGGGAGUUCCCGCCAUGGCACAGUGGUUAACGAAUCUGACUGGGAACCAUGAGGUUGCCGGUUCGGUCCCUGGCCUUGCUCAGUGGGUUAAGGAUCUGGUGUAGCCUUGAGCUCUGAUUCGACCCCUAGCCUGGGAACCUCCAUAUGCCAGGAGUGCGGUCUUAGAAAAGACAAAAAAAAAAAAAAAAAAAAAAAAAAAAAAAAAA
rnacentral:lncRNA from 1 species